ACAACAGACUGACCCAACCCGACAAACCUAACCCAUCCCCACAACCCGUUCCCCCUACUGCCAUCUUCCAAUCCUAACAGCGGCAAGGAGCUUGAACGCUGAGCAGAUGGAGCUCUUCUUGGAGUUGGCGCCACCGCGCCGAAGACCUUUCCGAUCUCGUCUCGAUGUCGCUGCUGGGCCGAGAAGGGUGUCCAUCGAAACGUCCCCUCCCUUCCUGCGUUGACAAAGACAACAACCUCCUGCAGAAGACUCCUCCGCCGCUUUGUC
rnacentral:lncRNA from 1 species